rnacentral:rRNA from 1 species
CUACGGGGCGCUCCAGUGGGGAAUAUUGCACAAUGGGCGCAAGCCUGAUGCAGCCAUGCCGCGUGUAUGAAGAAGGCCUUCGGGUUGUAAAGUACUUUCAGCGGGGAGGAAGGGAGUAAAGUUAAUACCUUUGCUCAUUGACGUUACCCGCAGAAGAAGCACCGGCAAACUCCGUGCCAGCAGCCGCGGUAAUACGGAGGGUGCAAGCGUUAAUCGGAAUUACUGGGCGUAAAGCGCACGCAGGCGGUUUGUUAAGUCAGAUGCGAAAUCCCCGGGCUCAACCUGGGAACUGCAUCUGAUACUGGCAAGCUUGAGUCUCGUAGAGGGGGGUAGAAUUCCAGGUGUAGCGGUGAAAUGCGUAGAGAUCUGGAGGAAUACCGGUGGCGAAGGCGGCCCCCUGGACGAAGACUGACGCUCAGGUGCGAAAGCGUGGGGAGCAAACAGGAUUAGAUACCCUCGUAGUC